rnacentral:tRNA from 1 species
GCCGGGAUAGCUCAAUUGGUAGAGCAGGGGACUGAAAAUCCUCGUGU